rnacentral:rRNA from 1 species
GUGAGGAAUAUUGGUCAAUGGGCGAGAGCCUGAACCAGCCAAGUCGCGUGAAGGAAGAAGGAUCUAUGGUUCGUAAACUUCUUUUGCAGGGGAAUAAAGUGCAGGACGUGUCCUGUUUUGUAUGUACCCUGAGAAUAAGGAUCGGCUAACUCCGUGCCAGCAGCCGCGGUAAUACGGAGGAUCCGAGCGUUAUCCGGAUUUAUUGGGUUUAAAGGGUGCGUAGGUGGUUUGAUAAGUUAGCGGUGAAAGUUUGCAGCUUAACUGUAAAAAUGCCGUUGAAACUGUCGGACUUGAGUGUAAAUGAGGUAGGCGGAAUGCGUGGUGUAGCGGUGAAAUGCAUAGAUAUCACGCAGAACUCCGAUUGCGAAGGCAGCUUACUAAGCUACAACUGACACUGAAGCACGAAAGCGUGGGGAUCAAACAGGAUUAGAUACCCGGGUAGUCC